GUAGAAUUGAAAGGUUAACUCCACCACAUGCCUCUUUUGAGUACGUGAAAGACGGUUUUUGAAAUGGGAGCAUCAUAUACCUCUUGGCUCCAUUAAGGCUGAGGAGAGAGUAAACCAUGCAUGGACCCCAGUAUUUUGUAUGGAUGAGUGGAGAUGAAAAAUUAACUGAGGAAUUCAGAUAUAUGGUGGAUUUGCCAGACCCUACUUGCAUACAUGGGCUCUGUUGGCCUCCUCUUUGUAUACAGACAUCGCUGUCAACACCAGCAGAGGAAACAUAUGAAUGGUGGCAAUUCUUUGUUUAUUUUGCUUAUCAGUAAGUAACACACUUGUUGCAAA
rnacentral:lncRNA from 1 species